AAACUCUGGUGGAAGCCCGCAGCGAU
rnacentral:snRNA from 1 species